GCCAGUUCAGGGCACAACCGGGAGCACCCGGGAUACCCCGCUGCGAUAAGCGGGGGUCGUCGGUUCGAAUCCGACAGGGGGCUCCA
rnacentral:tRNA from 1 species